rnacentral:rRNA from 1 species
AUUGAACGCUGGCGGCAGGCCUAACACAUGCAAGUCGAGCGAGCGGCGGAAGGGUGAGUCAUGUCUGGGUAACUGCCGGAUGGAGGGGGAUAACUACUGGAAACGGUAGCUAAUCCCGCAUCCCAUCGGAUGUGCCCCGAUGGGAUUAGCUAGUAGGUGGGGUAACGGCUCACGUAGGCGACGAUCCCUAGCUGGUCUGAGAGGAUGACCAGCGCAACGUGAAAUGAGAAUAGGUCCAGAAUCCUACGGUAGGCAGCGGUGGGGAAUAUUGCACAAUGGGCGAAGGCCUGAUGCCUCCAUGCCGCGUGGGUGAAGAAGGCAUUCGGGUUGCAAAGCACUUUCAGCGGGGAGGCGUUACCCUUAGAACAAGCCCCGGCUAACUCCGUGCCAGCCGCCGCGGUAAUUC